CAAGUGAGAGUUCCAACUUUCCUACUGUUCUGGGAGGCAUUGGGCGCAGAGGUCGCGAUGUCAGAGAGAAAACAGCCAGUAGACUUGGGUCUCUUAGAGGAGGACUAUGAGUUCGAGGAGUUCCCUGCCGAAGACUGGGCUGGCUUAGAUGAAGAUGAAGAUGCACAUGUCUGGGAGGAGAACUGGGAUGAUGACAAUGGGGAGGAUGACUUCUCCAAUCAGUUACGAGCUGAAUUAGAGAAACAUGGUUAUAAGAUGGAGACUUCAUAGCAUCUACAAGUGUUGAAGUAACCUAAACUUGAACUGUUUAUUAAAUUCUAGGAUAGAAAACCA